CGUAGAAAAGAUGUUCCCGAGAUUCGAUAUCUUGUUGACAAAAUGUGGAAGUAGCGCCGGCAUUUUUCUGAUGAGCGGACUGAUACACCGUGCCAUGGAUGACGGCGACCGCUGGAUCGCGCGACUGAAAAAUCAGAAUCGAACGUUCCAGAGUGCCGCGCGUAAAUUCCUUUUCGAGAUGACGAUGGAUCAUGUGUUUAUUGUUGGGGAUGUCUAGAGCCUUGGCCAUGCUGUCCGCACUGAAGGUCGGAUCUAGAACCAUCACAGCUCCAUGGAUGCCGCUGUUCUGAAGGCUGUCAGCAUACUCCUGCAUAACAGACAUUGAACAGAUGGAGCUCACGCUAUGGUGUGUGAAGACAGCCUGGAGCUCUGAGUUCAUGGUAAAAGCAGUCAUGAAAAAGAAGCAUUCCACAUGAAGACAUCAGCAAACACAAGGUCCUCCAUGGACUGAAGCAAGAACAAGAAAAGGCAGAAACAGAGACAGCGAGAGAGGAAGGAGAAGAGAGAAUAGAAAAGUAAUGGUGGACAUACGGGGACAGGCAGCUCUUACAUUGCAGAGGGAGUGAGUCCGGUGGCGGGGUGAGUUGAUGUCGCUCGGGGUGGAUGAGCGGUCGCCGUCGGCAGCCGAGGCGUCGGAGAUGAUGGAGGGCUGGCGGGAGUGACAGGGGCUGAUCCUCAAAGCAGCUGCGGAGGCAGGAGACGAACGUUGAGGGGAAGGUCUGCUUGCAUCACCCACUCCUGACUGCCGUUCACCACCGGCUCUGAUGGCAUCGCCAGAGAGUGACGCUUUGGCACGUCUUUAGUGAGAGUGGCCAGAGACUGCUUUGCCUGAGAUCUCAUGAUCUCAGUGCCGGCUCCGGCAGGCUCCACUUUCAGUGCCGGUGUUUCUUCUCAUAGCAAGAAAACUCAGCUGAACCUCCCGCACACACACAGGUACACGGUUCACUCCUACCACAGCCCCGCG